rnacentral:rRNA from 1 species
UUAUGGCUCAGGAUGAACGCUGGCGGCGUGCCUAAUACAUGCAAGUCGAGCGAGAAUCUUCAGAAACAAUUCUUCGGAUGCGUUCAGGAGAGGAAAGCGGCGGACGGGUGAGUAACGCGUAGGCAACCUGCCCCUGGCAGAGGGAUAGCCAUUGGAAACGAUGAUUAAAACCUCAUAAAGCUCAAAGAGCACAUGCUCAUUGAGCCAAAGAUUUAUCGGCUGGGGAUGGGCCUGCGUCUGAUUAACUAGUUGGUGAGGUAACGGCCCACCAAGGUGACGAUCAGUAGCCGACCUGAGAGGGUGAUCGGCCACAUUGGAACUGAGACACGGUCCAAACUUCUACGGAAGGCAGCAGUAAGGAAUCUUGCACAAUGGGGGAAACCCUGAAUGCAGCAACGCCGCGUGAACGAUGAAGGCCUUAGGGUUGUAAAGUUCUGAUCUGUGGGAAGAAGAAAGUGACGGUACCACAGGAGAAAGCCCCGGCUAAAUACGUGCCAGCCGCCGC